GAUGAACGCUGGCGGCGUGCCUAAUACAUGCAAGUCGAGCGAACAGACGAGGAGCUUGCUCCUCUGACGUUAGCGGCGGACGGGUGAGUAACACGUGGAUAACCUACCUAUAAGACUGGGAUAACUUCGGGAAACCGGAGCUAAUACCGGAUAAUAUAUUGAACCGCAUGGUUCAAUAGUGAAAGACGGUUUUGCUGUCACUUAUAGAUGGAUCCGCGCCUCAUUAGCUAGUUGGUAAGGUAAUGGCUUACCAAGGCAACGAUGCGUAGCCGACCUGAGAGGGUGAUCGGCCACACUGGAACUGAGACACGGUCCAGACUCCUACGGGAGGCAGCAGUAGGGAAUCUUCCGCAAUGGGCGAAAGCCUGACGGAGCAACGCAGCGUGAGUGAUGAAGGUCUUCGGAUCGUAAAACUCUGUUAUUAGGGAAGAACAAAUGUGUAAGUAACUAUGCACGUCUUGACGGUACCUAAUCAGAAAGCCACGGCUAACUACGUG
rnacentral:rRNA from 1 species